rnacentral:rRNA from 1 species
CCUACGGGGGGCAGCAGUCGAGAAUCAUUCACAAUGGGGGAAACCCUGAUGGUGCGACGCCGCGUGGGGGAAUGAAGGUCUUCGGAUUGUAAACCCCUGUCAUGUGGGAGCAAAUUAAAAAGAUAGUACCACAAGAGGAAGAGACGGCUAACUCUGUGCCAGCAGCCGCGGUAAUACAGAGGUCUCAAGCGUUGUUCGGAAUCACUGGGCGUAAAGCGUGCGUAGGCUGUUUCGUAAGUCGUGUGUGAAAGGCGCGGGCUCAACCCGCGGACGGCACAUGAUACUGCGAGACUAGAGUAAGGGAGGGGGAACCGGAAUUCUCGGUGUAGCAGUGAAAUGCGUAGAUAUCGAGAGGAACACUCGUGGCGAAGGCGGGUGCCUGGACAUUAACUGACGCUGAGGCACGAAGGCCAGGGGAGCGAAAGGGAUUAGAUACCCCGGUAGUC